rnacentral:rRNA from 1 species
GUAGUCUCGCACAGAUGCAUAUCAAUAAGCGGAGGAAAAGAAACUAACAAGGAUUCCCCUAGUAACGGCGAGUGAAGCGGGAAGAGCUCAAAUUUGAAAUCUUAAAGGGUUUCCCUUUACGAAUUGUAGUUUAAAGAAGUGUUUUCUGUUGAGGUUUUGGUAAAAGUUCUUUGGAAUAGGACAUCAUAGAGGGUGAGAAUCCCGUAUUUGACCUUUACUUUCAACUUUGUGAUACACUUUCAAAGAGUCGGAUUGUUUGGGAAUGCAGUCCAAAAUGGGUGGUAAAUUUCAUCUAAAGCUAAAUAUUGGCGAGAGACCGAUAGCGAACAAGUACCGUGAGGGAAAGAUGAAAAGAACUUUGAAAAGAGAGUUAAACAGUACGUGAAAUUGUCAAAAGGGAAGCGUUUGACACCAGUGUUGUUUUUCUGAAAAUCAAUUAAAGAACUGUUUAUGCUAAGCUGUUUAGACUUUAUCAGCUAACUGUUUAGUUUUGAGCUUUUCUUUAAUGCACUUUUCAGUUAACAAGUCAACAUCAAUUUCUUUUGCUGUAAAAAAGCUUGAGGAAGGUGGCUUGAGAUUCGUCUUAAGUGUUUAUAGCCUCUUGCCUAUGCAGUCGGAGAGAUUGAGGUCUGCAGCGUAGAUCCUUCGGGGCUAAAUGCAUUUGUGCUAAGUUAUAAGCAUUUUAUAGACAACUUGUUGACUAUGAUUUGUCUUGUAGCUUACUCGCUUAUGUUAUUUUACCUACGCUUAGGAUGUUGAUCUGUAGUGCGUGCGC